GGUCAUAUGGUACAUUCUCCUA
rnacentral:siRNA from 1 species